rnacentral:rRNA from 1 species
CCUACGGGCGGCAGCAGUGAGGAAUAUUGGUCAAUGGCCGAAAGUCUGAACCAGCCAAGUCGCGUGCAGGAAGACUGUCCUAUGGGUUGUAAACCUCUUUUGUCAGAGAGCAAAUUCCGACACGUGUAUCGGUUUGAAAGUAUCGUACGAAAAAGCAUCGGCUAACUCCGUGCCAGCAGCCGCGGUAAUACGGAGGAUUCAAGCGUUAUCCGGAUUUCUUGGGUUUAAAGGGUGCGUAGGCGGUGUGAUAAGUUAGCGGUGAAAUCUGUGGGCUCAACUCCGGCCAAGCCGUUGAUACUGUCGGUCUAGAGUGUGCGAGCAGUAUGCGGAAUGCGUGGUGUAGCGGUGAAAUGCAUAGAGAUCACACAGAACACCGAUUGCGAAGGCAGCAUACCGGAGCACGACUGACGUUGAGGCACGAAAGCGUGGGGAUCGAACAGGAUUAGAUACCCCAGUAGUC